CGAUAAAUAAUGCAGAAAAAGCUGAGAAACGCUCUGCAACAAGAGACGAUGGAUCUGACCGGAGAAAUUUUCGGAUCCAAUCUGGACAUGGAACCUUCGGCGUACCAAAAGUACCAAAAGAUUCCACCAAAAUAAUCCAAGAACUAUUCAAAAAGGUACGGGAAGCUCACGUAAUGCUGCCUCCAGGUGAAUCCGAAAGUGUACUGUGUGUUCCGAAACUAAACUAGAAACGAGAAGACGAUCUUUGCUCAUGGUACCUUGAAUGAAUGAACAUUCAUAACUGAAAUGGUUACGUCAUUGGCAGUGAUCCAACCCGGAAUAUUUCAACGGUUCCGGAAAGUCAUCGGCGGGAUGCAACAAGAAGCGGCCGUUUAAAUAAAAUCCUGUGAGGAAACCCUAUGGCAUCCAGCUCAUUAUAACGUGGAAAAACUAAAAAUAGGAACGAGUAUUUUGUCGCUUACGAUGGUAGAACAUGGUUUUUGAUGAAGACAACAUCAAAUUCAAGUAC